rnacentral:rRNA from 1 species
GUCGACGCUAGGCGGCGUGCCGUUACAUGCAGUCGAGCGGACAGAUGGGAGCUUGCUCCCUGAUGUUAGCGGCGGACGGGUGAGUAACACGUGGGUAACCUGCCUGUAAGACUGGGAUAACUCCGGGAAACCGGGGCUAAUACCGGAUGGUUGUUUGAACCGCAUGGUUCAAACAUAAAAGGUGGCUUCGGCUACCACUUACAGAUGGACCCGCGGCGCAUUAGCUAGUUGGUGAGGUAACGGCUCACCAAGGCAACGAUGCGUAGCCGACCUGAGAGGGUGAUCGGCCACACUGGGACUGAGACACGGCCCAGACUCCUACGGGAGGCAGCAGUAGGGAAUCUUCCGCAAUGGACGAAAGUCUGACGGAGCAACGCCGCGUGAGUGAUGAAGGUUUUCGGAUCGUAAAGCUCUGUUGUUAGGGAAGAACAAGUACCGUUCGAAUAGGGCGGUACCUUGACGGUACCUAACCAGAAAGCCACGGCUAACUACGUGCCAGCAGCCGCGGUAAUACGUAGGUGGCAAGCGUUGUCCGGAAUUAUUGGGCGUAAAGGGCUCGCAGGCGGUUUCUUAAGUCUGAUGUGAAAGCCCCCGGCUCACCCGGGGAGGGUCAUUGAAACUGGGGAACUUGAGUGCAGAAGAGGAGAGUGCAAUUCCACGUGUAGCGGUGAAAUGCGUAGAGAUGUGGAGGAACACCAGUGACGAAUGCGACUCUCUGGUCUGUAACUGACGCUGAGGACCGAAAGCGUGGGGGAGCGACAGGAUUAGAUACCCUGGUAGUCCACGCCGUAACGAUGAUGCUAUGUUAGGGUUUCCGCCCCUUAUGCUGCAGCUACGCAUAGCACUCCGGCUGGAUUCGGUCGCAGACUGA